AUCGAACGCUGGCGGCAGGCCUAACACAUGCAAGUCGAGCGGAGCGUCGGACGGGUGAUUAAUGCCGAGGAAUCUGCCCGGUAGUGGGGGACCCCUUCCGGAAACGGGCGCCAAUACCGCAUACUAUCAGAGCAGCUUAGGUCGGCUUAGCUAGUUGGUGGGGCAAAGGCCUACCAAGGUGACGAUCCAUAACUGGCCUGAGAGGAUGAUCAGUCACACUGGAACUGAGACACGGUCCAGACUCCUACGGGAGGCAGCAGUGGGGAAUCUUGCGCAAUGGGCGAAAGCCUGAUGCAGCCAUGCCGCGUGUAUGAAGAAGGCCUUCGGAUUGUAAAAUUCUUUCGGCGGGGAAGCGUUACCCACACAGAAAGCACCGGCUAACUCCGUGCCAGCAGCCGCGGUAAUUC
rnacentral:rRNA from 1 species